GAGGAUAUAGCUCAGUUGGUAGAGUGCUUGCCUUACCUGCAUGUGGCCCUGGGUUCGAUCCCCAGUAUUGUCC